rnacentral:rRNA from 1 species
UACGUAGGGUGCUAGCGUUGUUCGGAAUCACUGGGCGUAAAGCGCGCGUAGGCGGCUUGGCAAGUCAGAGGUGAAAGCCCAGGGCUCAACCCUGGAAUUGCCUUUGAAACUGCCAAGCUGGAGUGUCGGAGGGGAGAGCGGAAUUGCUAAUGUAGAGGUGAAAUUCGUAGAUAUUAGCAGGAACACCGGUGGCGAAGGCGGCUCUCUGGACGACAACUGACGCUGAGGCGCGAAAGCGUGGGGAUCAAACAGG